rnacentral:rRNA from 1 species
UACGGAGGGGGCUAGCGUUGUUCGGAAUUACUGGGCGUAAAGCGCACGUAGGCGGCGAUUUAAGUCAGAGGUGAAAGCCCGGGGCUCAACCCCGGAACUGCCUUUUGAGACUGGAUUGCUAGAAUCAUGGAGAGGUGAGUGGAAUUCCGAGUGUAGAGGUGAAAUUCGUAGAUAUUCGCAAGAACACCAGUGGCGAAGGCG